UCCCACUCACCGCCUCCACGGCAUAAGCUUCCUGGAGUCGGUCAUUUCAGAAAGGAACGCCAGCUCAUUAUUGAGUUCCAGAUCUGAGUAUAAACAGUAACCCCUGGUCCUGCCCCUUGAAGGCUAGCUUGGGGCUCUGUCCAGCCACCAAGUGUCAGGUGUCUCAGGAACGCCAGUCAUUCCUGUGGGAUAAAGUCAUGUCAUCCAGGGCACAGAGCAGGCAGGCAUGGAAGAACAGAGGGACAAAGCGUCCUCUGCCACGGUAAUGGGUGACAUGUUUCUCAGACUCCUCCAUGGCUCAGGCUUUCCUGCAUGUCCUUCCCAAGACCCUUCUGUGGCUUCUUCCUUGGGAGAGGCCCAUGCCCUUCGUUAAGUCCCCAGCUUACAGCAGUUGCUGCAGAGCCCAUCCAUUCAGGUAUUUGGUCGUUCAUUCAUCCAGUGACUAUUCAUGGAGGUGCUACCCUGACCCCAUCACCCUAGGUGCAGAGGACAGAGCAGGAAUCACGGGAGACCCACGGGAGACCUCGUCCUUGCUCUCCAGGAGCCUAUGCAUGGUGGAGAGAGAAAGUCAGCAGUCACAGAGGUGAGAAAACUGAGACCAGAGUAGGAAAAUAACUUGCCGAACGAAGGCUACAAACUUACGUAAAUGGCCACCCUCAGGCCUACAGCCAUUCCCCUUUUUGUUGAAAGAGGAAGCAGUCAGAAGGCACCCUUCACCCACUCUAUGUGGUCUGAAGAAGAGGAACCUGGAUCUGAUUUGGAUUUUUUGAAGAAAUCUUGCUUUGAUGUGGUCUCAUCCAACUUCUUCAUUUGCUGGUCUGAGUGGGACGAUGGGUGCUGUACCUCUGUGGGGACCAACCAAGGGGAUUCUCUCAGCCAGGGAUCUCCCCCAUGAGGGAGGAGUUUCCCAGCCCUGGUACCUGUGACUCCUUGGGUACCUCCAAUGAUCUCCAGGCUAUUGGAGCCUUCUCAAGACAAAAUUUAAAUAUUGAAAUAAAUAUUCUAUGGAAAUAAACCUGUGGGAAAAAAGAAGCAUAUGCCAAUCA